rnacentral:lncRNA from 10 species
CUGCAGAAGUUAAAGGGAACAUGUAGUAGGAAGAAGCUGAACAUGUUUAGAAUAUUAGGCUUUAUGACUAAAUAUAAAAGAGAGGACUAUGGUUCACUUCGUGGCGGCAGAGUAAAGGCCACAGCUACUGGAAAAUGACUUUCCCUAGCCUCCCCUUCCUGAUUUUCAUCAAUCACAUUAUCCCCUUGCUCCUUCCAGCUUAGUGGUGGUAAGAAAUCAUACUCCCUUAUACAUCUUUCCCACUGUUGCUGGCCCUUGUGCUUUAUGUCAAGGCACUUUUCCUAUACUUGCCUGUAAGUUUUAUGGGCUCUGUUAAGUUUGUCCAAGACUGUUCUUGCUAGCUUUUGGUUUGUUUCUUUAUAAAAUAAUAAAAUUGAUUUAUGUGAUCUGUCAAUUGAACAAGUUAGGAUCGUUAGAUAUUAAAUUUUGUCUAAUUCGUUGUGCUGCCAAUAGUUAGUUAAGGAACUGGCAAUCUGUUAAAUCUCAAUAUAUAUCAACUGGAAUUGUUUUUAGCCACAAAAUCUUUCUGUGUUCUUUUUCAAAAACUCAAAGUGUGACAUGCAAAUAUGAAUUUGAUUCUGUGAUACACUAAUCAGUAUUAGAAAAAAAUGUAGUGUACUUGCAUGUUAUAUUUAUCACAAUGUGACUGAAUUUAAACUAAUAUUUUUAUCAUAAAUUGUGUGGAAGAAAUGUUUCAUGAU